rnacentral:rRNA from 1 species
UACGAAGGGGGCUAGCGUUGUUCGGAAUUACUGGGCGUAAAGCGCACGUAGGCGGAUCGAUCAGUCAGGGGUGAAAUCCCAGGGCUCAACCCUGGAACUGCCUUUGAUACUGUCGAUCUUGGAGUAUGGAAGAGGUGAGUGGAAUUCCGAGUGUAGAGGUGAAAUUCGUAGAUAUUCGGAGGAACACCAGUGGCGAAGGCGGCUCACUGGUCCAUUCGUGACGCUGAGGUGCGAAAGCGUGGGGAGCAAACAGGG